ensembl:lincRNA
CUCAGGAAGUCUGACGUUGACACAAACAGUUACAGCCAUCAGAACCACGACUGCUUUAAUAGACACUGAAACGAGCCUACUAGCCAAAUACUGGGAGAAUAAUCGGGACCGGGGGAGAGUGAGAAAGUUGAGUGCUGGAAUGGCAGAUUAUGGCUGGAAGUCCUGAAGCCAGGUGGUAGCCGUGACACCACCACUUCUCCCAGCUUCGGUUUAUUCAACCGUAAAACUAGGUGACUGGACAAAAUGAAAAGAACCCUUUCUUUUUAAAAAAGAUUUAUUGAGAGAGAGAGAAAGAGAGAGUGCGCGCACAACAGCGCGAGGGACGGGGAGGGAGGGAGGGAGAGGGAGAGAAGCAGACUCUCUGAGAAGCAGGGAACCCGACAUGGGGCUUGACCCCAGGACCCUGGGAUCAUGACCCGAGACAAAGGCAGACGCUUAACUAACUGAACCACCCAGGUGCCCCAAAAGAACCCUUUCUGAUCAAGCGGUAGGGGAGAAAGAAAUCAGACGGACCCACAAGUAAAAUGGACGCUGUCCUGGAACCCAAACCCAGGGAUCAAGUCUGCUCUGGCAAUACAGUGAAGCGUCGAAGUCUAGUCCCUGUGUUCCCUUCUCUCCCACACAGGGCACGAGGGGCCACUCUGAGCUGCUUGGAAUUACACCACUGAAAUAACUGGAGGAGCGAACUCAGCUGGCUGACCGAGGAAACAGUGUCCCAGGCUUGGAAGAAAGCGAAACGAACCCCGGAGAACCGCGGCACCGACUACCCACCGCCCCUCUCCCGGCCAGGCCGGAGAUGCUGAAUCACUGCCGGAAUCCUCCCGUUGGCGGGGGUUCCCAUAGCCCCUAGCCCCGGGCCGCUCUGAGAAUGACAGGACGGGGGGCUCGCCAUUCCCCCCGCCCGCGGACCUCAGCCCCAAAACUGCCCGCGCUCGGAAUCCAACGCACCAUGGUUCCGGCGCGGAUCUGGCUGCGGCCUCCUGCAGAGGUGCGGAAUCCGAAAGGUUGCCGAAACUACCGCUCGACAAUCUACAGAAAAGCCUUCGGGAUUUUGACGAAGGCGGCGCAGGGCAGGGCAGUCUAUCCCAGAGAUAUCGAUAGAACCCGGCGCUCCCCCGCCCUCAAGGCUCGCCGCCUCUCCAAAGUGGGCGGGGCUCAGGAAGAAGGAGGAGUUGAGAUUGGCGGGAAAUCUUGGGUAAGGAGUGCGGGCGGCAGCAGAGAGUUGCGGGGCGGCCGCUACAAAGUUGCCCUUCUUGGAUUCUCAGUGGUUUGCAGAUUCCCUGUGUUUUUGCAGAUUCCCGCCAAGUCCUCACCGGCCCGACCGAUACACCUGAAAUCGAUGGAGACAACACCUGCGACUCCAGUGCCUGAGAGUUCCACUUUCUGACUUCACCAGCACUGGAUAGGUUUCUACAUUUGAUGGCCCUCCACUUUACCAUGGAAUGUGGGAUAAUUCACUUUCUUAGAGGCGCAGACAAAAGUAAGAGUCUCAUUUUAACCUCCUGCUACACACACAUAACAAUUGCACCUGUUUUGAGUGCUGUGAAGUAUGUAAGCCUGAUGAUUCACAGACCUGUACCCCUGGGGCAAAUAAUACAUUGUAUUAAUAAAAACAAUUUAAAAAAGCAAAAAAACCCAAUUGUACAUGUUUGUUUAUGUACUGUCUCCAUCUAUUAAAUCAUAAGCUCCUGGAAGACAAGGCCUAUAUUUUAUAUAUAUUUAUACACACACACACACAUAUACACACACAUGUAUAUAUACAUAUAUACACAUGUGUAUAUAUACAUACACACACAUAUAUAUACAUGUGGAGAGCCAUCCAGCAGAUGCAAGGAGUCACGUAGACGGGAGUGCCUGAAGAUUGAGGAACUGAGAAUGAUUGGUUUAGGAGGAUGUGGGUGCGCUCGUGGCUGACGCACACAGCACCAGGAGCCAAGAGAUAAACGCAUGAUCACCGCUAGAGAACAAUAGAGUCCUGUAUGGUUACAUAAGGGUCCACAAGGACAUUGCGUGCACGGCGUUAUGAUUGGCCAAAUAGGGGGGCGAGAACGGGUGAACUUCGUGGAUAAAUACUGCUGUAAGUGCUUGGUGCGGCGCGGCCGCCAUUAGCAUUAGUACAUUAGCAUUAGUAAUAAAAGAAGUUUGCCAUUCACCUCGUCUGCGGGUCGUUCUUGCGGGCCGAGAGCGACAUAUACACACAUAUAAUUUAUAUUAUAUAUAUUACAUAUAAAUAUACAUAUUUAUAUUAUACACACACACAUACAUAUGGUGUCAUGCAAACUGAGUGCUCAAUAUGGUUUAAAAAGUUAAGAAUGAAUAAAAGUACCUUAGUAGCAAUAAUAAUAAUACCAAACAUAUUGCACAGUACCAGAGAUUAAUGUCAACAACUGUCUUCUGAAUACUCUACUAGAAGAAAUCUUUAAGUUUGGAAGUAUUUUUUUUCUAUUAAAAUUUUUUUUUAAAAGAUUUUAUUUAUUUAUGAGAGAGAGAGAUAGGGAGAGAGGGAACUCAAGCACAGGGGAGCUGGAGAGGGAGAAGCAGGCUCCCUGCCAAGCAGGGAGCCCAAUGUGGGGCUCCAUGCCAGGAUACAGGGAUUAUAAACUGAGCUGAAGGCAAAUGCUUAACAACUGAGCCACCCAGGCGCCCCUAGAAAAAUUUCUUUAAUUGAAGUAUAAUUGACAUACAAUAUUAUAUUUGUUUUAGUCUCAACAUAGUGAUCCAACAAUUAUAUAUGUUAUAAAAUGCUCACGUCAGUAAGUGUUGUCACUACCCGUCCACCAUACAAAGUUAUUAUAAUAUUAUUGACUAUAUACCCUAUGCUGUACUCUUCGUCCCUGUGACUUAUUUAUUUUAUUACUGGAUGUUUGUACCACUUAAUUCCUAAAUUUGGAAAUAUUUAUAGCAGCUUUGUAGGAUUGCUUAUACCUUGAUGUUUCUGAGCUAGAUAGUCUCCAUUGCCCCUAUAGAUCUUCUUCAGCAACAUCCCUUUCCCCUCUGGCUCUGGUUGAGCUCAGCGGAUGGAGGGCACCAGCAGGACAUCAGAAAGUAGUGGGAGAGGGACACCUGGGUGGCUCAGUGGGUUAAGCCUCUGCCUUCGGCUCAGGGCUCAGGUCAUGAUCCCAGGGUCCUGGGAUCUAGCCCCACAUCGGGCUCUCUGCUCAGCAGGGAGCCUACUUCCACUUUCCCCCCAAUACCCCCCCAGCCCCACGUGCCUCUCUGCCUACUUGUGAUUUCUCUCACUGUCAAAAAAACAAAAUCUUAAAAAAAAAGAAGAAGAAGGUAGUGGGAGAAAGAGGUCAGUGUAUUUAUUACCCUCCCUCCCUCCAUACUGGCCCAAGUUGGCAGUGGUACUGUACCAUCUCUUGCUGCCCUGCCCGCAUGCUGAUGUACUCUCUUCAGUUGUGCCUUUUGACUGUGCCAUCUGUUUCCUGCUGGAACCCUGACGGAUUUGAAUAAUAUUUUAAAUAUUUACAGGGUACAGGAGGUAUACAAUACCUUUUUUUUUUUUUAAUGUGAGAAAAGCUUGUUUUCUUGAAGUUGAGUUUAUAUUAUACCUCUUAGAAGGUUAAUAUUGGUAGGUCUGAAACAACUGGAAAAUAGAACCUAAGAUUAUGAUAUAUCCCCUUCCCUGUUUUUUUCCUGCUCAAAUAUACAGGGAAAAAAGUCAGCUUACAGUUGGUUUUAUAAUUUUUUCCAAGGAAUACACAUUUAAACGUUUUCAAAUGCAAACAGCAUGAAAAAAAUUUCUUAUAAUUCACUACGUAGAGAAAAAUCACUGUUAAAAUUUUAGUGAUUUUUUUUCUCCUAUAAUAAUGUACAUCUAAAGAAAGGAAGAAAAUUUACCGUGAGAAUAUAUUUCUAAUAUUUAUAAUAUGCAGUACAUUGUAUAAGUAUAUAUGUAUUGUAGGUGUGGCUCUCAUUCCACUGAAAUAAAUAUUGCAUUUCUUUAGAUCAACCUGAAUCUGAUCUUGAGCUCUCACCCUGCCAAGGCUGGUGGGAAAGUCAGUCUCAGUUACUGAGCAUUUCCUCUCCACCUACGAUUGUACGAAGUUUCUAGGGCCUUAAUUAUUGUGGAAGUACGUGGAAAUUAUUAUUUUUUAAAGGUUUUAUUUUUCAUUUCUUUGAGAGACCUAAAGAGAGUACAUACAUGAGUGGGGGAGAGGGACAGAGGAAAAGGGAGAAGCAGACUCCCCGCUGAGCAGGGAGCCCGAUGUGAUGUGGGGCUCCAUCCCAGGGCCCUGAGACCAUGACCUGAGCCACCCAGAUGCCCUAUACCUGGAAAUUAUUUAGUUGUCUGUCCACAUUGAUUUGCUGCUGAGAUUUCCUUUUAUGCCAUCUUCCCUUCUGGUCUGAUGAUUCCAGUAUUCAUUUACCACUCUUGGAACUCAAGAAUCUGGACUCAAAUGAGUGAAUCUGGCAACCCCAGCACCCAGGUGCAGACUUCCCCUUUGAGGUUUUGCCAUCAUCCUGGGCUCUGUCACAGAGCAAGAUGGAAGAUUUAGUUGCUCACUCAACCUUUUGGGUUUCAGACUUCUAAGUCUUGAGGAAUCUCUCUCCCACCUCACUUUGAAAGGCAUUCCUGUCUUCCCACUCCCACUUCUCAUUUCAAAAGACAGCAAGAACCUAUGUUGUCACUAAGUAGCUUUUGCUUUUUGCCUUACGAAAAUAUUAGGAUCUGGAUACCUAUUGUAUGGGGGCAAAAGGUAGGGGAAUAGGAGCACACACAGAAUUAAAAUCUCAACAAAAUAACCUG